GUGCCAGCAGCCGCGGUAAAACGUAGGGGGCAAGCGUUGCCCGGAUUCACUGGGCGUAAAGCGGGUGUAGGCGGUUCUUUAAGUCAGAUGUGAAAUCCUGCGGCUCAACCGCGGAACUGCAUCUGAUACUGGGGAACUUGAGGACGGUAGAGGUCGGUGGAAUCCCCUGUGUACCGGUGAAAUGGGCAGAUAUAGGGGGGAACACCAGUGGCGAAGGCGGCCGACUGGGCCGAUCCUGACGCUGAGACCCGAAAGCCAGGGUAGCGAACCGGAUUAGAUACCCCCGUAGUCC
rnacentral:rRNA from 1 species